rnacentral:lncRNA from 1 species
UAUCAGCUUGUUAAACACCCCAUGAGCCUCAAUAUUAUCUUGGUUCUAUGAAGACAUCAGGUCAUUUUUGCAAGUGGCUUCUUCUCCCCCCUUAUUGUUAUUGUUUUAUUUAUUUAACCAUCUUCAUUUUAUGUAUGCUAAUGAAAUUUAAUCUUGCUUGGUCAGUUGGCAUAUGUAUUUUGAAGAGAAUGAGUUUCUUGUAAAUAUUUAAAACAAGAACAAAUUUAGCUUGGACAUGGUUUUAAAAGUUGAAUUCGGUAAUAAAAUUAUAAGUUCAUUUCUGUUUACCUUUUUACUAUGGGGUCAUUUAUUCGAGAUAUAUGACUCGCGGGGUCAUUUAUUUGAGGUACGUGAAUCACUGUUCUAUCAAUGACAGAACAGAAAGUAGAAUGUACAACUGUUUUAAUAAAUUUCAGACAUUAUGGGGAUUUAAUAUUUAUCAAGAAAUUGUGCAAUAUUUUGGCUGGUACGAAUUUUUUUCUUCCCCCUAACAAAAAGUAGAAUUCUUCUGAAGUAAAGUUUGAAAGGGUGAAAAUAUAGAUUUUUUAAAUUAAAAGUGCAUUUAAUCAUUAGAAAAAAAGUAUAAAAUAAGUAGGAAGAAAUAUACGAUACCGGAGGGAUUUCAAAAAUAUAUGACAGAAGUCUGAAGUCACCGAACACCCUCAGGAUUAACUUUGAGGGUCUAUUUGAUUAAUUUCAAAACCUGAGGCGUUCCAUUCAUUAAAAUGACAAAACUCUGGUGUAUUUUAUUUUAUAUAAUAAACAACAAGGACUCUUUGUAAAUUACGUCAUCACGCUCACGACGUGCCAUUAUACGGUGAGCCAUUUUUGGACAUGCGAACUUGGACCGACCGAAAAUUACAAGAAGAGCGAAAACUGUAUUAGAUACAAAGACGGAAUCAUCUAUCUGACACCGUAACUGGCACCCCUUGAUUUUCAUAUUUGUUUAAUUUGCUUAAUUUGAUUCAAAGUGUACUUUAUUUCAUUGCUAGAAAAUUAGUAUGCUGGAAAUUAUAGUGAGUUUUUUUGCAUUGCCCGUCUCCUGUUUGAUAUAAUUCCUCAACGAAAUGAUUUUACGUGCAUUCUAUUGUUGUUAGUUGCUUUAUUUUCAGCUCAAAACAGCUUGCGAAAGUUAACCUCAACAACGCAUUGCAAUGCAGCCUUGUCGAAUUUUAUAAUCACAGUAGAAUAAUGGGUUACUGCCAUCUUUGCUUGUUAAAAAACUUUUCCGAAUUUUGUUCAGUGAUCCUUUUCGCUGUAUUUUAGUAUUGUUGCUAUAAGGUUCAUGGUAUGAGUUUUUUUUUUUUUUUUUAAUUAUUUGUCGUGGAUUAAUUGCAACUAUUAAUCAUGCAGAGUUACUUUAUGCAAUCACAUUGUUUUGUACUUAUUGUUACUUGGUUUUGCAGCAGUUUAAGAAUGGAGAAUGACAAGAAAGCUGAGCUAGCUAGCUUUUUGAAAGUCAUUCCCCCUGUUGAAUUCUGCUGUGUUUAUGGUUCAUCUCUCCAUCCGAAUAACAAAGACAAGGUUUCUGUUUGCUCUUUUUAUUUUUCACAUUGUAUCUUUUCAUUUUACUUUUAAUUGCAUUCUGCUGUACCGUACAUCCGCCUUGGCCGUACAGCAGAAAGAGAAAUUCAGAAUUUUUUCUUGUGAGUGAAUAUCAUGCUGUUCUGAGCAUAUAUGACUGCUGGACCGUACAUCCGCCUUGGCCGUACAGCAGCUAAUGAAAUUUAAUCUUGCUUGGUCAGUUGGCAUAUGUAUUUUGAAGAGAAUGAGUUUCUUGUAAAUAUUUAAAACAAGAACAAAUUUAGCUUGGACAUGGUUUUAAAAGUUGAAUUCGGUAAUAAAAUUAUAAGUUCAUUUCUGUUUACCUUUUUACUAUGGGGUCAUUUAUUCGAGAUAUAUGACUCGCGGGGUCAU